AAGACGAGGGGGCCAACCGCGGGUCACGAGGUUUCAAGUGGCGUUUGUUUUUGUUCCUCAGUGGGGAAGAACCAGGGGAUCGAAACAAUGGCCAAGCACGACGCAAUGUUCGUGAGCCCCCCAAUGAUGGUGAGCCCCCCGAUGGUCGAGAGCCCCCCUUUCACUUCGAGGGACACCCUUAUGUCCCACGUGAAGGAGCAACCCCAAAAGAAAAGUCCCUUCCCAGGUGUGGCUGGACAUGAGGGCACGUGCGUCCUUUCUGUCAUCAUAUUUACCCUGUUCCUCGGUGUCGUCGUUGGAAUGAUGAUGCUGCCAAAAAAUGUACAGCGGGAGCAGCGGCGCGUGCACCUGCGAAGGCUUCUCGAAGGGCUGAACGUCACCGAACACGAAUGGACGGUGGAGCCCGCGCCCAAGAUGCAGAGAGCUGUCAGGCACAGGGCCGAGGCUGAGAGCAUCAUCAGUGAAGUCGAGGACGACAGAAAGCGUCGUUGAUCAACGAAGGAAACAGACACGUCAAUACGAGUGGCCAGCUUUUUUUUUUCUUCUUCUUCUUCUUCGUGGCAGCCAACGUUGUGCGCUUAGUUCAAACAUGGGCGAGUAAAUAGCAAUGCGAUGGCGUAUA